CAGCAGUGAGGAAUAUUGGUCAAUGGACGAGAGUCUGAACCAGCCAAGUAGCGUGCAGGAAGACGGCCCUAUGGGUUGUAAACUGCUUUUAUAAGGGAAUAAAGUGAGUCUCGUGAGACUUUUUGCAUGUACCUUAUGAAUAAGGACCGGCUAAUUCCGUGCCAGCAGCCGCGGUAAUACGGAAGGUCCGGGCGUUAUCCGGAUUUAUUGGGUUUAAAGGGAGCGUAGGCCGGAGAUUAAGCGUGUUGUGAAAUGUAGAUGCUCAACAUCUGAACUGCAGCGCGAACUGGUUUCCUUGAGUACGCACAAAGUGGGCGGAAUUCGUGGUGUAGCGGUGAAAUGCUUAGAUAUCACGAAGAACUCCGAUUGCGAAGGCAGCUCACUGGAGCGCAACUGACGCUGAAGCUCGAAAGUGCGGGUAUCGAACAGGAUUAGAUACCCUGGUAGUCCGCACGGUAAACGAUGGAUGCCCGCUGUUGGUCUGAAUAGGUCAGCGGCCAAGCGAAAGCAUUAAGCAUCCCACCUGGGGAGUACGCCGGCAACGGUGAAACUCAAAGGAAUUGACGGGGGCCCGCACAAGCGGAGGAACAUGUGGUUUAAUUCGAUGAUACGCGAGGAACCUUACCCGGGCUUGAAUUGCAGAGGAAGGAUUUGGAGACAAUGACGCCCUUCGGGGCCUCUGUGAAGGUGCUGCAUGGUUGUCGUCAGCUCGUGCCGUGAGGUGUCGGCUUAAGUGCCAUAACGAGCGCAACCCUUAUCUUUAGUUACUAACAGGUCAUGCUGAGGACUCUGGAGAGACUGCCGUCGUAAGAUGUGAGGAAGGUGGGGAUGACGUCAAAUCAGCACGGCCCUUACGUCCGGGGCUACACACGUGUUACAAUGGCAGGUACAGAGAGACGGUCCCUUGCAAAAUGGAUCAAAUCCUUAAAGCCUGUCUCAGUUCGGACUGGGGUCUGCAACCCGACCCCACGAAGCUGGAUUCGCUAGUAAUCGCGCAUCAGCCAUGGCGCGGUGAAUACGUUCCCGGGCCUUGUACACACCGCCCGUCAAGCCAUGAAAGCCGGGGGUACCUGAAGUACGUAACCGCAAGGAGCGUCCUAGGGUAAAACUGGUAAUUGGGGCUAAGUCGUAACAAGGUAGCCGUACCGGAAGGUGCGGCUG
rnacentral:rRNA from 1 species